UACGGGGGGGGCAAGCGUUGUUCGGAAUUACUGGGCGUAAAGGGCUCGUAGGUGGCCAACUAAGUCAGACGUGAAAUCCCUCGGCUUAACCGGGGAACUGCGUCUGAUACUGAAUGGCUUGAGUUCGGGAGAGGGAUGCGGAAUUCCAGGUGUAGCGGUGAAAUGCGUAGAUAUCUGGAGGAACACCGGUGGCGAAGGCGGCAUCCUGGACCGACACUGACGCUGAGGAGCGAAAGCCAGGGGAGCAAACGGG
rnacentral:rRNA from 1 species